GUGGGAGGAGGAUUUACGACGCUUUGCUCUUCGAUGUUUUAUUGUUUUUAGUGAUUUUAGCGCCAAAAAGGGACGAAAAAUGUCUUCCUGAACCUUUUAAUAAGAGGAAUAUUUAGUUGACCCGUUGAGCUGGGAGUCAAACAGAUGCUCUCCAGUGCUUGACCUGACCUCAACCACUGGGCUGCCCCCUGUCACCUGGGAUACACCUGCGAGAGAGAGAAGAGAGGUCAUUAGUAGGGAGAAGAAGAAGAAGAAAAAGAAGGAGGAGGAGAAAGAUAGUUAGGAAAGGUCGUUAGCAAGAAGAAGAAAAAGAAGAAGAAGAAGAAGAAGAAAAAGGAGGAGGAAGAUAGUUAGGAAAGGUCGUUAGCAGGAAGAAGAAGAAGAAGAAGAAGGAGAAGAAGAUUGUUAGCAGAUAGAGAGGAUAUGACCACUACUACUACUACUACUACUACUACUACUACUACUACUACUACUACUACUACUACUGCUACUACUACUACUACUACUACUACUGCUACUACUACUACUACUACUGUGAGACCCCGGACUCACCCAAGACCGAGACCCAGCAAUUCAAAUUUCGUUCACUCCUUACCAAAUCCUAAACUUAAUCUGGAAAACAAGACACAGAAAACACAAGAACUGCAACACAACUUAAGAAACAGCCUAGUGGGAGCUGAUGCCAAGGCUUAUCCCACGCCUACCACUUAACUGAACAGAACCAGACAAGUGCCAGGUCAGAGAGGGUCACCUAGGCUCUUGACCCCUUGACCCCUUGACCUCCACCACCAACAGGAGCAACAGGACAACAGUAACAGGCGAGCAGUGUCCCCCCGGUGUCUUCCAGGGGAGGGAGUUUCACCCCAUAGGACACGAGGUCAUUGGUGGAGGUCAAAAGGUCAGGUCACGUGAUCCAGCAAGACAGCGAGGUCAUCUUGGGUCAAGGAUCAUAUGGUAUCUACUACUACUACUACUACUACUACUACUACUACUACUACUACUACUACUACUACUACUACUACUACUACUACUACUACUACCUACUUCAGUUCAUGUCAAAGAAGCUGCAUGGUGGUGGUGAAGGUGGACUCUUGACGGCGGUGAGUGCAGCAACGCGCCUCCUCCCGUACGCUCCCUCCGUUAGUCAUUUGGUCGGAGUGCAGGAGGCCAAAGGGACGCCCACUCAGCUCAUGGCCGGGGCACGUCGACCGGGGUGGGUGGGCAGCUGCUCGGAGGCUCGGCGGAGG